GAUGAAGAACGCAGCGAAAUGCGAUAAGUAAUGUGAAUUGCAGAAUUCAGUGAAUCAUCGAAUCUUUGAACGCACAUUGCGCCCGCCAGUAUUCUGGCGGGCAUGCCUGUUCGAGCGUCAUUUCAACCAUCAAGCCCUGCUUGCGUUGGGGUCCUGCGGCUGCCCGCAGGCCCUGAAAACCAGUGGCGGGCUCGCUAGUCACACCGAGCGCAGUAAUACAUCUCGCUUUGGGCGUGCGGCGGGUUCUUGCCGUUAAACACCCCCUUUUUACCAAGGUUGACCUCAGAUCAGGUAGGAAUACCCGCUGAACUUAAGCAUAUCAAUAAGCGGAGGA
rnacentral:misc_RNA from 1 species